UGGGGAAUAUUAGAAAUGACGAAAGUCUGAUCUAGCAACACCGCGUGUGCGAAGAAGGCCUUCGGGUUGUAAAGCACUUUUUGGAAGGAUUAGGAAGGAAUGUACUUCCAGAAUAAGUCUCGGCUAACUACGUGCCAGCAGCCGCGGUAACACGUAGGAGGCAAACGUUAUCCGGAUUUACUGGGCGUAAAGCGCGUGUAGGUGGUGAUGUAAGUAGGGCGUGAAAGCUCCUGGCUCAACUGGGAGAGGCCGUUCGAAACUGCAGAGCUAGAGGAUGGUAGAGGGAGGUGGAAUUCCGGGUGUAGCGGUGGAAUGCGCAGAUAUCCGGAGGAACACCAGUGGCGAAAGCGGCCUCCUGGACCAUUCCUGACACUCAGACGCGAAAGCUAGGGUAGCAAACG
rnacentral:rRNA from 1 species